GACGGGCCUCCUCGCAUGGUGGCGCGGUCAACCUGGUCAGGUCGGGAACGAAGCAGCCAUAGCCGUUUUCCACCAGUGCCGAGGGCCAGGCUCGUCCACC
rnacentral:SRP_RNA from 20 species